AUGAUACUCCAGCAUCUUUUCAAACCGGCCGCCGGCCCUGGACGUGUUUCUCCUGGGACGGGCUGUCGUUGGACUCCGCCUCCGCCUGGUACGCUCCUGGUUUCCUCGGAUGCAGCGGUGUCCUCUGACCGUGCGUCUUCUGCGGCAGGGGUGGUGGUGCAGGAUCACUCCGGCCUGUGUGUGGCGGCUGCCUCCGAACCUUUGCCCGGUGUCUCAUCGCCAGAGCUGGCUGAGGCCUUGGCGCUCCCCCGGGCGGUGCAGCUGGCGGGAGAGCAGAACUUUGAUCGGGUGAUCUUUCAAUCCGAUUGCCUCUCGGUGGUUCAAAGGAUUAACUCUCCGCUCCGGGACAGGUCCAUGGUGGGUUCGAUCAUCGCGGAUAUCAAGAUGGCAUCUCGUGCCUUGUCUUCGGUCUCUUUUAUGCAUGUUCGUCGGCAUUGUAAUAUUUUAGCUCAUGUUUUAGCUAAGUCUAGUUUCAACUCUAUGAGUCCUGGUGUUUUUCUUUCUGCACCGGAUUGUAUCCGGAAGACUCUAUGUAAUAUGUUUCCUUGA
rnacentral:rRNA from 1 species